UCUCAUGCUGUGACCCUCCAAAGGGAAACACUUUCUGUUGUCUAAAAGAAAAGAAGGCGCGUCCCUUUGGAGUGUUACAGUUUGAGG
rfam:Macaca mulatta chromosome 19, whole genome shotgun sequence.